rnacentral:lncRNA from 1 species
GGGCCAAGCGUUGCUGAAAGGUGGAAGAAUUCAUGGAAAGAAGGUUAUACCAGAAACCAAGAUCUGCUUUUUAAAAGGGAACAUGUACGCUCAUGUUUUGGCUUGAAUUCACUGCCUUUCACCUAUGUGUGGUCCCUCCUGUGCCGAGUCAGCAUGGAGUUCAGGUAAGCCAUGGUUCUUUGCUUGUGCAGUGGCCUCUGCCUCGCUUCUCCUUGCUAAGUCUUACUCAUCCUUCAAGACCUACCCCAGGUGUCAUCCUUUCCAGGAAGUGUCUCUGAACCACCUCACGGGAUUAAAAAGCAUCAUGCCACCUUAGCACAUCUACGGCAGUGGGUCUCAAUUGGGGGUGGGUGACUUUGUUUCACUGAGGACAUUUGGCAAUGUCUGGAGACAAUUUUGAUUGUCAUGACUGGGGGUGGGGAUGGAAAGUGUACCACUGGCAUCUAGUGGGUGGAGGCCAGGGAUGCCGCUAAACAUCCUGCAGAGCACAGCACAG